rnacentral:rRNA from 1 species
GACAGAGGGUGCGAGCGUUGUCCGGAGUCACUGGGCGUAAAGCGCGCGCAGGCGGUGUCCUAAGAGUCGUGGGAAAGACCCCGGCUCAACUGGGGGAGGCCACGGCUGACUGGGUCGCUCGAGAUGCGGAGAGGCCCCUCGAAUUGCCGGUGUGGCGGUGAAAUGCGUAGAGAUCGGCAGGAAGACCAAGGGGGAAGACAGGGGGCUGGCGGCAUGCCGGCACUGAGGCGCGACAGCGUGGGGAGCAAACCGG